rnacentral:rRNA from 1 species
UUAAGCGACUAAGCGUACACGGUGGAUGCCCUGGCAGUCAGAGGCGAUGAAGGACGUGCUAAUCUGCGAAAAGCGUCGGUAAGGUGAUAUGAACCGUUAUAACCGGCGAUGUCCGAAUGGGGAAACCCAGUGCAAUUCGUUGCACUAUCGUUAACUGAAUACAUAGGUUAACGAGGCGAACCGGGGGAACUGAAACAUCUAAGUACCCCGAGGAAAAGAAAUCAACCGAGAUUCCCCCAGUAGCGGCGAGCGAACGGGGAGCAGCCCAGAGUCUGAAUCAGCUUGUGUGUUAGUGGAACGGUCUGGAAAGUCCGACGGUACAGGGUGAUAGUCCCGUACACCAAAAUGCACAGGUUGUGAACUCGAAGAGUAGGGCGGGACACGUGGUAUCCUGUCUGAAUAUGGGGGGACCAUCCUCCAAGGCUAAAUACUCCUGACUGACCGAUAGUGAACCAGUACCGUGAGGGAAAGGCGAAAAGAACCCGGCGAGGGGAGUGAAAAGAACCUGAAACCGUGUACGUACAAGCAGUGGGAGCACCUUCGGGUGUGACUGCGUACCUUUUGUAUAAUGGGUCAGCGACUUAUAUUCUGUAGCAAGGUUAACCGUAUAGGGGAGCCGCAGGGAAACCGAGUCUUAACUGGGCGUUAAGUUGCAGGGUAUAGACCCGAAACCCGGUGAUCUAGCCAUGGGCAGGUUGAAGGUUGGGUAACACUAACUGGAGGACCGAACCGACUAAUGUUGAAAAAUUAGCGGAUGACUUGUGGCUGGGGGUGAAAGGCCAAUCAAACCGGGAGAUAGCUGGUUCUCCCCGAAAGCUAUUUAGGUAGCGCCUCGUGAACUCAUCUUCGGGGGUAGAGCACUGUUUCGGCUAGGGGGUCAUCCCGACUUACCAACCCGAUGCAAACUACGAAUACCGAAGAAUGUUAUCACGGGAGACACACGGCGGGUGCUAACGUCCGUCGUGAAGAGGGAAACAACCCAGACCGCCAGCUAAGGUCCCAAAGUCAUGGUUAAGUGGGAAACGAUGUGGGAAGGCACAGACAGCCAGGAUGUUGGCUUAGAAGCAGCCAUCAUUUAAAGAAAGCGUAAUAGCUCACUGGUCGAGUCGGCCUGCGCGGAAGAUGUAACGGGGCUAAACCAUGCACCGAAGCUGCGGCAGCGACACUAUGUGUUGUUGGGUAGGGGAGCGUUCUGUAAGCCUGCGAAGGUGACCUGUGAGGGUUGCUGGAGGUAUCAGAAGUGCGAAUGCUGACAUAAGUAACGAUAAAGCGGGUGAAAAGCCCGCUCGCCGGAAGACCAAGGGUUCCUGUCCAACGUUAAUCGGGGCAGGGUGAGUCGACCCCUAAGGCGAGGCCGAAAGGCGUAGUCGAUGGGAAACAGGUUAAUAUUCCUGUACUUGGUGUUACUGCGAAGGGGGGACGGAGAAGGCUAUGUUAGCCGGGCGACGGUUGUCCCGGUUUAAGCAUGUAGGCUGGUUGUCCAGGCAAAUCCGGAUAAUCAAGGCUGAGGUGUGAUGACGAGGCACUACGGUGCUGAAGUAACAAAUGCCCUGCUUCCAGGAAAAGCCUCUAAGCAUCAGGUAACAUUAAAUCGUACCCCAAACCGACACAGGUGGUCAGGUAGAGAAUACCAAGGCGCUUGAGAGAACUCGGGUGAAGGAACUAGGCAAAAUGGUGCCGUAACUUCGGGAGAAGGCACGCUGGUGUGUAGGUGAAGCCCCUGCGGGUGGAGCUGAGACCAGUCGAAGAUACCAGCUGGCUGCAACUGUUUAUUAAAAACACAGCACUGUGCAAACACGAAAGUGGACGUAUACGGUGUGACGCCUGCCCGGUGCCGGAAGGUUAAUUGAUGGGGUUAUCCGUAAGGAGAAGCUCUUGAUCGAAGCCCCGUAAACGGCGGCCGUAACUAUAACGGUCCUAAGGUAGCGAAAUUCCUUGUCGGGUAAGUUCCGACCUGCACGAAUGGCGUAAUGAUGGCCAGGCUGUCUCCACCCGAGACUCAGUGAAAUUGAACUCGCUGUGAAGAUGCAGUGUACCCGCGGCAAGACGGAAAGACCCCGUGAACCUUUACUAUAGCUUGACACUGAACAUUGAGCCUUGAUGUGUAGGAUAGGUGGGAGGCUUUGAAGCGUGGACGCCAGUCUGCGUGGAGCCAACCUUGAAAUACCACCCUUUAAUGUUUGAUGUUCUAACGUUGGCCCCUUACCGGGGUUGCGGACAGUGUCUGGUGGGUAGUUUGACUGGGGCGGUCUCCUCCUAAAGCGUAACGGAGGAGCACGAAGGUUAGCUAAUCCUGGUCGGACAUCAGGAGGUUAGUGCAAUGGCAUAAGCUAGCUUGACUGCGAGCGUGACGGCGCGAGCAGGUGCGAAAGCAGGUCAUAGUGAUCCGGUGGUUCUGAAUGGAAGGGCCAUCGCUCAACGGAUAAAAGGUACUCCGGGGAUAACAGGCUGAUACCGCCCAAGAGUUCAUAUCGACGGCGGUGUUUGGCACCUCGAUGUCGGCUCAUCACAUCCUGGGGCUGAAGUAGGUCCCAAGGGUAUGGCUGUUCGCCAUUUAAAGUGGUACGCGAGCUGGGUUUAGAACGUCGUGAGACAGUUCGGUCCCUAUCUGCCGUGGGCGCUGGAGAAUUGAGGGGGGCUGCUCCUAGUACGAGAGGACCGGAGUGGACGCAUCACUGGUGUUCGGGUUGUCAUGCCAAUGGCACUGCCCGGUAGCUAAAUGCGGAAGAGAUAAGUGCUGAAAGCAUCUAAGCACGAAACUUGCCCCGAGAUGAGUUCUCCCUGAGACUUUAAGUCUCCUGAAGGAACGUUGAAGACGACGACGUUGAUAGGCCGGGUGUGUAAGCGCAGCGAUGCGUUGAGCUAACCGGUACUAAUGAACCGUGAGGCUUAACCUU